rnacentral:rRNA from 1 species
GAUGAACGCUGGCGGCGUGCCUAAUACAUGCAAGUCGAGCGAACGGACGAGAAGCUUGCUUCUCUGAUGUUGGCGGCGGACGGGUGAGUAACACGUGGAUAACCUACCUAUAAGACUGGGAUAACUUCGGGAAACCGUAGCUAAUACCGGAUAAUAUUUUGCACCGCAUGGUUCAAAAGUGAAAGACGGUCUUUCUGUCACUUAUAGAUGGAUCCGCGCUGCAUUAGCUAGUUGGUAAGGUAACGGCUUACCAAGGCAACGAUGCAUAGCCGACCUGAGAGGGUGAUCGGCCACACUGGAACUGAGACACGGUCCAGACUCCUACGGGAGGCAGCAGUAGGGAAUCUUCCGCAAUGGGCGAAAGCCUGACGGAGCAACGCCGCGUGAGUGAUGAAGGUCUUCGGAUCGUAAAACUCUGUUAUUAGGGAAGAACAUAUGUGUAAGUAACUGUGCACAUCUUGACGGUACCUAGUCAGAAAGCCACGGCUAACUACGUG